GAUUAGAAGCUUGCUUCUAUGACGUUAGCGGCGGACGGGUGAGUAACACGUGGGCAACCUGCCUGUAAGACUGGGAUAACUUCGGGAAACCGAAGCUAAUACCGGAUAGGAUCUUCUCCUUCAUGGGAGAUGAUUGAAAGAUGGUUUCGGCUAUCACUUACAGAUGGGCCCGCGGUGCAUUAGCUAGUUGGUGAGGUAACGGCUCACCAAGGCAACGAUGCAUAGCCGACCUGAGAGGGUGAUCGGCCACACUGGGACUGAGACACGGCCCAGACUCCUACGGGAGGCAGCAGUAGGGAAUCUUCCGCAAUGGACGAAAGUCUGACGGAGCAACGCCGCGUGAGUGAUGAAGGCUUUCGGGUCGUAAAACUCUGUUGUUAGGGAAGAACAAGUAUGAGAGUAACUGCUCGUACCUUGACGGUACCUAACCAGAAAGCCACGGCUAACUACGUGCCAGCAGCCGCGGUAAUACGUAGGUGGCAAGCGUUAUCCGGAAUUAUUGGGCGUAAAGCGCGCGCAGGCGGUUUCUUAAGUCUGAUGUGAAAGCCCACGGCUCAACCGUGGAGGGUCAUUGGAAACUGGGGAACUUGAGUGCAGAAGAGAAAAGCGGAAUUCCACGUGUAGCGGUGAAAUGCGUAGA
rnacentral:rRNA from 1 species